rnacentral:rRNA from 1 species
UACGAAGGGUGCGAGCGUUAUUCGGAAUUAUUGGGCGUAAAGGGUGUGUAGGCGGCAUAUUAAGUCUGUUGUUUAAUUCUCCGGCUCAACCGGAGGCAUGCGGUGGAUACUGGUAUGCUAGAGGAUGGAAGAGAGAAGUGGAAUUCUCGGAGUAGCGGUAAAAUGCGUAGAUCUCGAGAGGAACACCAAUGGCGAAGGCAGCUUCUUGGUCCAUUUCUGACGCUGAGACACGAAAGCGUGGGGAGCAAACAGG